rnacentral:rRNA from 1 species
UACGGAAGGCAGCAGUGGGGAAUAUUGCACAAUGGGCGCAAGCCUGAUGCAGCCAUGCCGCGUGUAUGAAAAAGGCCUUCGGGUUGUAAAGUACUUUCAGUCGUGAGGAAGGUGUUAAGGUUAAUAACCUUAGCAAUUGACGUUAGCGACAGAAGAAGCACCGGCUAACUCCGUGCCAGCAGCCGCGGUAAUACGGAGGGUGCGAGCGUUAAUCGGAAUUACUGGGCGUAAAGGGCACGCAGGCGGUUAAUUAAGUUGGAUGUGAAAUCCCCGGGCUUAACCUGGGAAUGGCAUUCAAGACUGGUUAGCUAGAGUCUUGUAGAGGGGGUAGAAUUCCAUGUGUAGCGGUGAAAUGCGUAGAGAUGUGGAGGAAUACCGGUGGCGAAGGCGGCCCCUGGACAAAGACUGACGCUCAUGUGCGAAAGCGUGGGGAGCAAACAGGGAUUUUAGAUACC